rnacentral:lncRNA from 1 species
UAGGUUUAGAGGGCCGUGGCAACAAAGAAGUGAGAUCCCCUGUGGGAAGGGAACCUGCCAGUGUCCUAGGUGGGUAUUAAUAAGAGGAGGGAACAAUGGUCUGGGACCUGAUUGUAAGGUGGUACU